CAGGGAGACAACAAAAUGUAAAUAUUAAUUUUGUCACCUUAGGUCGAUCGGUAUCUCUGAUUCUUAAUUUUUUAAGAAUUUCAGUUUCUAAGUUUUUUUUAGGUCACACCCAUCACUUUUUCCUGGGCCAUUAGCUCAGGUGGUUAGAGCGCACCCUUGAUAAGGGUGAGGUCCCUGGUUCAAGUCCAGGAUGGCCCAUAUCUCUAUGUUGGGGGUAUAGCUCAGUUGGUAGAGCGCCUGCUUUGCAAGCAGGAUGCCAGCGGUUCGAGUCCGCUUACCUCCACUGAAUACCACCUCUUACAUAUAUUUAAAGAGGGAAAUUGUUUUGAGUCGUGCCCUAAUUUGCUCUGAGCGAAUCUAGCUUCCUAUUCAAUAAAUAAGAUGCUGGACUCAUUGAAUUUUU
rnacentral:tRNA from 1 species